UACGGAGGGUGCGAGCGUUAAUCGGAAUUACUGGGCGUAAAGCGCAUGCAGGCGGCUUGUUAAGCAAGAUGUGAAAGCCCGGGGCUUAACCUCGGAACCGCAUUUUGAACUGGCAGGCUAGAGUCUUGUAGAGGGGGGUAGAAUUUCAGGUGUAGCGGUGAAAUGCGUAGAGAUCUGAAGGAAUACCGGUGGCGAAGGCGGCCCCCUGGACAGAUACUGACACUCAGAUGCGAAAGCGUGGGGAGCAAACAGG
rnacentral:rRNA from 1 species